GAUGAACGCUGGCGGCGUGCCUAAUACAUGCAAGUCGAGCGAACAGACGAGGAGCUUGCUCCUCUGACGUUAGCGGCGGACGGGUGAGUAACACGUGGAUAACCUACCUAUCAGACUGGGAUAACUUCGGGAAACCGGAGCUAAUACCGGAUAAUAUAUUGAACCGCAUGGUUCAAUAGUGAAAGACGGUUUUGCUGUCACUUAUAGAUGGAUCCGCGCCGCAUUAGCUAGUUGGUAAGGUAACGGCUUACCAAGGCAACGAUGCGUAGCCGAACUGAGAGGGUGAUCGGCCACACUGGAACUGAGACACGGUCCAGACUCCUACGGGAGGCAGCAGUAGGGAAUCUUCCGCAAUGGGCGAAAGCCUGACGGAGCAACGCCGCGUGAGUGAUGAAGGUCUUCGGAUCGUAAAACCCUGUUAUUAGGGAAGAACAAAUGUGUAAGUAACUAUGCACGUCUUGACGGUACCUAAUCAGAAAGCCACGGCUAACUACGUG
rnacentral:rRNA from 1 species